CCUACGGGAGGCAGCAGUGGGGAAUAUUGGACAAUGGGCGAAAGCCUGAUCCAGCCAUGCCGCGUGUGUGAAGAAGGCCUUCGGGUUGUAAAGCACUUUCAGUGGAGAAGAAAGCCUUGGGGCUAAUACCCUCGAGGAAGGACAUCACCCACAGAAGAAGCACCGGCUAACUCCGUGCCAGCAGCCGCGGUAAUACGGAGGGUGCGAGCGUUAAUCGGAAUUACUGGGCGUAAAGCGCGCGUAGGCGGUCUGAUAAGCCGGUUGUGAAAGCCCCGGGCUCAACCUGGGAACGGCAUCCGGAACUGUCAGGCUAGAGUGCAGGAGAGGAAGGUAGAAUUCCCGGUGUAGCGGUGAAAUGCGUAGAGAUCGGGAGGAAUACCAGUGGCGAAGGCGGCCUUCUGGACUGACACUGACGCUGAGGUGCGAAAGCGUGGGUAGCAAACAGGAUUAGAUACCCGAGUAGUC
rnacentral:rRNA from 1 species